rnacentral:rRNA from 1 species
UACGGGGGGGGCAAGCGUUGUUCGGAAUUACUGGGCGUAAAGCGUGCGCAGGCGGUUAUGCAAGACAGAUGUGAAAUCCCCGGGCUUAACCUGGGAACCGCAUUUGUGACUGCAUAGCUGGAGUACGGCAGAGGGGGAUGGAAUUCCGCGUGUAGCAGUGAAAUGCGUAGAUAUGCGGAGGAACACCGAUGGCGAAGGCAGUCCCCUGGGCCUGUACUGACGCUCAUGCACGAAAGCGUGGGGAGCAAACAGG